UUUGUGUAUGGCGUCGGGCGAAAAGAGAAGUAUUCUAGAUCUAUGAAAAUAGCGUGUUUGCCAGACUUUUCUUAAAAAAUAAAAUAAUAAACAUACAAGUGUAGAAAAUAAAUAGAUGAUUUAUCAAGUUAAUAAAGCAUAUCAUAACACUGCCAUCCAUCCAUCCCAAUGGCAGGGCAGCCCACGGAGGGCUCUGGGCUAUUAUAGUACGUUUCUACAUUUGGAUCUAUCCUGGACUUUACAUCUCCAUGCCCCGGACUGUUAGCUGUUGUAGAUCUGU